UGGCGCUUUUCUCUCUGUCUAUGUUUUCAAGAAUUUUCUUGACUCACUUAUUUUUGUGAAAGAAGGCCUCAUGUUUACAUGACAAAAUUAGAAGACCUCCAUUUUUAUUUGUAACCACCUUUUCUAGACUCUCGAACGGAGUUAGCUAGUAAGUCUUGGAAUCAUAAUAGUGUAUUGUUUGUUACAUGGACUGAAACUAUUCUCGUGUCAAUGUAAUGAGAAAUGACUGAGAUAAUAGCCAAAAACUAGUUUUUUUAAUAUUAAUUUUGUAACCACCUUUUUGAGACUUCUGCACCAGGUAUGAACAAGUUACUACUUUGAGUGUAUUCAUUAAGGCCUCUUAUAUAGACUGUUUAUGGUUUCAUUUUUCUAGAUGCUAUGUUUCAAAAUGAGAACUGAGUAGUGAAAGAAUAGGUUAUUUACCAAGAAACACAAGCAGGAUUUCAGUGGCAUUGAUGAGACAUUGUUACAUGAUUGUAAAGCUUUAUAUUUAUGCUACCACAGAGAACUAUCAAGAUAGAGAUGAUGUACAUUACAGUAUGUACUGUAAUGGUGAUACAUUAAAAUUUGUUGAAAGACUCAUAAUAAUAAUCAAUCU